AUUGAACGCUGGUGGCAGGCCUAACACAUGCAAGUCGAACGAGUGGCGGACGGGUGAGUAAUGUCUGGGAAACUGCCCGUUGGAGGGGGAUAACUACUGGAAACGGUAGCUAAUACCGCAUACCAUCGGAUGUGCCCAGAUGGGAUUCGCUAGUAGGUGGGGUAACGGCUCACCUAGCCGACGGUCCCUAGCUGGUCUGAGAGGAUGACCAGCCACAAUGGAACUGAGACACGGUCCAGACUCCAACGGGAGGGAGCAGUGGGGAAUAUUGAACAAUGGGCGCAAGCCUGAAGCAGCCAUGCCGCGUGUAGGAAGAAGGCCUUCGGGUUGUAAAGUACUUUCAGCGAGGAGGCGUUACUCGCAGAAGAAGCACCGGCUAACUCCGUGCCAGCCGCCGCGGUAAUUC
rnacentral:rRNA from 1 species